GUCUUACGUAACGCGUCGUUAUGGUCGAUAAGUCUUUGCGUCGGCAGCAAAGCAGCAGGAAACAAUACUGGGAUGUUAGAUCCAUCCAGGUCAAUUGACUGAGGCAGUGAAAAGCAUUUAUUAACAAAGCAGCUUGAACCCCAGUCAGACGUCCCCCUGCAGGGCUGUGACCAGCUGCAGCAUGG